CUUUAAAUCCAAUAAGCCCUA
rnacentral:siRNA from 1 species